rnacentral:rRNA from 1 species
CAGCAGCCGCGGUAAUACGUAGGGUGCAGGCGUUAAUCGGAAUUACUGGGCGUAAAGCGUGCGCAGGCGGUUUGCUAAGAGAGAUGUGAAAUCCCCGGGCUUAACCUGGGAACUGCGUUUCUAACUGGCAGGCUUGAGUGUGGCAGAGGGGGGUGGAAUUCCACGUGUAGCAGUGAAAUGCGUAGAGAUGUGGAGGAACACCGAUGGCGAAGGCAGCCCCCUGGGCUAACACUGACGCUCAUGCACGAAAGCGUGGGGAGCAAACAGGAUUAGAUACCCUGGUAGUCCACGCCCUAAACUAUGUCAACUGGUUGUCGUGGAAGCAAUUCCUUGGUAACGAAGCUAACGCGUGAAGUUGACCGCCUGGGGAGUACGGCCGCAAGGUUAAAACUCAAAGGAAUUGACGG